rnacentral:rRNA from 1 species
GUCUUAUUGAAUAUAAUUUUAAGUCUAACCUGCCCACUGAAAAUUUUGAAUGGCCGCAGUAAUUUGACUGUGCAAAGGUAGCAUAAUCAUUAGUUUUUUAAUUAAAAGCUUGUAUGAAGGGUUGGACGAGGUAAAAUCUGUCUCUAUUUAAUUUAAAAUAGAAUUUAAUUUUUAAGUUAAAAAGCUUAAAUAAAUAUAAAAGACGAGAAGACCCUAUAGAUCUUUAUAUAAUUUAUAUUAAUUUUAAUAAAGAAUAAUUAAUUUAUUAUUAUAAAUUAUAUUUUAUUGGGGUAAUAGAAAGAUUAAUAAAAUUCUUUUUUAAUUUAUACAUAAAUUUAUGAAUAAAUGAUCCAAUUAUAUUGAUUAAAAGAUUAAGUUACCUUAGGGAUAACAGCGUAAUUUUUUCAGAGAGUUCAUAUCGAUGAAAAAGUUUGCGACCUCGAUGUUGGAUUAAAAAUUAUUUUAAAUGCAAAAGUUUAAAAUUUUGGUCUGUUCGACCAUUAAAUUUUUACA